AUGGCCAUAUCAUAUUGAAACAUCGGUUCUCCUUUAAUCACCGAAGUUAAGCAAUAUCGAGCCUGGUCAGUACCUAGAUGGGUGACUGCUUGGGAAUACCAGGUUCUGUAUG